rnacentral:rRNA from 1 species
AACGAACGCUGGCGGCAUGCCUAACACAUGCAAGUCGAACGAGACCUUCGGGUCUAGUGGCGCACGGGUGCGUAACGCGUGGGAACCUGCCCUUAGGUUCGGAAUAACUCCCCGAAAGGGGUGCUAAUACCGGAUAAUGUCUUCGGACCAAAGAUUUAUCGCCUUUGGAUGGGCCCGCGUUGGAUUAGCUAGUUGGUAGGGUAAAAGCCUACCAAGGCGACGAUCCAUAGCUGGUCUGAGAGGAUGAUCAGCCACACUGGGACUGAGACACGGCCCAGACUCCUACGGGAGGCAGCAGUGGGGAAUAUUGGACAAUGGGCGAAAGCCUGAUCCAGCAAUGCCGGGUGAGUGAUGAAGGCCUUAGGGUUGUAAAGCUCUUUUACCCGGGAUGAUAAUGACAGUACCGGAAGAAUAAGCUCCGGCUAACUCCGUG